rnacentral:lncRNA from 1 species
AGGCAGGCAUUGAGGCAGCGAGAGCAGAGACGGCUGAGAGGCAGGAAACGCUUCUUGAGGAGACCGCAGAUAAGUUUUUCUGUUAAGAUAGGGAUUACUCUUAUUCUCUAGGAAUUAUAAAUUAGCGAAAAUACUGAGCUGUAGUUUUGAGUUAAAUUCGUGAGAGUAGAUUUGAUAAUUAAUAAGAAGGUCUUAUUUUAGGGGAAAAUGGAGACGUCCUUAAAAAAUAGUGUGAGAAAGGAAGAAAGAAGAAAAAAGAUAAUAUUAGAACAUGACGGAGGUUAAGAGCUGAAGCUUCUUCAUGGAGUGAGAAAGCUAAUUUUAAAAGGAGUUGCCGAGACAGGACUGCAAAGUAUGGAAUUUUAAAGUCUUAAAUUGAAGGGCAGCUUUUUAGAUUAUUGUUCAAACGUAAUGCUAUAAAUAGAACCUAAACAAUACUUUUAAAGUCCAGUCGUAGAUGGAUUAAAAUGUUUUAAAAGCCAUCUUUAAAGGUCAGUUGAAGGUGAUUUAAGAAAUGCCUUCAAAUUCACGGCGCGAUCAAAACUGCGUCAUUUGAAGCCUUAAGGCUUUCUUUGGAAGUUGAUGGAAGUAUUAGUGGAGAAAGAAGAUUAGAAAUUUGAAGUGGAAAACUCGGAAGACAAGUACAGGAAGGUGAAGAAAAGAUUAGUGAAGAUAGGAAAACUAGAAGAUAAAAAAUACGGCUUUUAGAAGACAGAAAAAAACUAAGCCCAGAAGGUAGGAGGCAGAAGACAUCUAGAAAGAGAAGGUUGAAAAGAUGUUCGAGUGUUUGAGGUAGAAAAUGAGAAACAAGCUGUUGGAGACAAGCAUACAAGAUAGAGGUCCAAGUAAUUGGAAGAUAGAAAAGUCCGAAGCCAAAAAAUUGGAUAAGUACAAGACGCAAAACUAAGAAAAAUAAUUUUUAAUAGUUCAAUUUAUUUAAAAAGCCCAUCAACUUUAAUUUGUGGUGGUGCAGAAGUUAGAUCUGAGAAGAGGGUUUUAAACUACAGUAGACCAAGACCAACUUAGAAGAAUAUCUCGAAGCUGUAGAGGGAAGUAAAUUUAAAAUCACAGCAAAAAGCUACUAAAAAGACUGAUGUAAAAAUUAAGGUAGACGGAAGAGUUAAAAAUUUGAAAGGCCUUAAAUCCAUACAGUAGUUUAGUUUCUUCUGGAAAACUUAAAGGACGAUAAAUUCAAGAGCGAGGAUAACCAAGUUAACAUUUUUUGCAUUGGACUUUGAGCUAAGAUGAAUUUCUAAACCCUGAGGACUAGGCGCUAAUUAACAGCUGACCAGGUGCUACACAGAAGUGGAUUCAGAGAACCUAGGAAGACAGCAGCAGACAGGAUUCCAGGAGCCAGUUUUUGGUGAAACUAGGACUGAGGAGCGAGCGGCAGUUCGUGAAGAUAGGAAGGAGGAGCCCGGGAGCCAUGCGAUGUGGUGAUGAAGCUAGCGUGCGGCUUGGCGGCGUGGCUUGGCAACCCCGCGGAGGAGGCGAGCAGGCGGUGUGGAGGCUAGAUAGAGCGUCCUAGAGCGGCAGCCCAGUGUGCAAGGCCGGCAGGGAGAGCCAGUGGUGUGGUAAAAAUCCGUGAGGUCGGCAGUAUCGUGGGUUCUGCUUUGUUUCUUCACCUUUUUUUGGUAACAGUACGGUAAUCUUUGUUGUAUUUCCUAAUGGUGAUGGGGGAGCUGUGUACUUAAGCAUAAAGGGUUUUAUGGGGAUGUAGGCCGAUUUUCGGGUGUUGUAGGUUUCUCUUUUUCAGGCGUAUUUUCUCAUCUUGUCUGAAGCUUUUGAGGGCAGACUACCAAGGCCCGGAGGAAUAGUAGAUGGCAAGUGUUUUCGUUUUUAACCAAUAUGAGGGAAAACAAAUGAAUUUGAUAGAACAACCUUGAGACAGUUUCAGCCAGCUUUGUAAGCAGGUUUUAUAUUUAGCUUGGUAAUGAAGCAUUUCCGUUUUGUGAGUAGAUGACUUAAUUUUCUUUCUCAUUCUCUAUUCUAAGUUACCUAUAUAUAUAUAGUUGGGUGUGUAAUUCGGGGGGGUAAAGGUUUUGGGGGGGCAAAAUAUGUUUUGAGUUCUUUUCCCCUUAGGUCUGUCUAGAAUUCCAAAGGCAAAUGACUCAAGGUAACAGGAAAAAAGAAAAUCCAGUAUCAGGAUAAUCAGAACACCACAGGUUUACAGUUUGUAGAAACUAGAACACGAGCAGCUCUCACUUAAGGUCUGUGAUGGAACUCCAGUGGAGAAAUGGCUGGUACUUUUUCCACCCCUUAAUCAGAUUUUUUUUUUAAUUAAAGUAUGUAACCGGUUAUUUUUACUUGAAGUAUUUUGGGGUGGUCUUAACAGGGAAGAGGGUGGGGGAGAAAAUGUUUUUUUCUAAGACUUUCCACAGAUGCUAUAGUACUAUUGACAAACUGAGUUAGAGAAGGAUUGUACUGCUAUGCUGUUGGCACCAAACACCUUCAGGGAUUGGAGCUGCUUUUUUCCUUGGAGUAUUCCCAGUGAAGCUGAAAUAUACAGCACAGUGCAGCUUUGGUUCAUAUUCAGUCAUCUCAGGAGAACUUCAGAAGAGCUUGACUAGGCCAAAUAUUGAAGUUAAGUUUUCAAAUAAUGGAACUUUUUAAGAUGCCUUUUAAAGGGGAGGGGCAAGUUUUGGCAAUUAGUUGGCAGUGGCCUGUUUUGGUUGGGGUUGGGUGGGUUGGGUUUAGGUAAUUGUUUAGUUUAUGAUUUCAGAUAACUCAUGCCAGAGAACUUAAAUACUUAGGAUGGAAAAACUAAAGAAAUCUCACCUCCCAAGUUGGCAAGUAACUCCUGAUCCUCUAGUUUCUUGUUUUACCCCAAUUUUUGAACUGGACAGCUGGGAACUUCAAAGAUUCACUGGAUUUAAAGUGUAGGGCUUGGGAAAGGAAAGUGUUGGAUUGGGGGUUGGUCUAGCCCACUGGGUUGACCAAGAUAAAAACUUGGGGAAUUGUUUAAACACUAAAGUUGUUUGGAUAUGGUAGUGUGUGGUUCUCUUUUGGAAUUUUUUUCAGGUGAUUUAAUAAAACUUAAUACUACUAUAGGAGCUUCAGAGCAAAGGAAGUGGCUUAAUGAUCCUGAAGGGAUUUCUUCUGAUGGUAGCUUUUAUAUUAUCAAGUAAGAUUCUAUUUUCAGUUACAUAAGCAAGUUUUUUAGUAUAGGAAAUUUUUGUAUGGCUGCGAGACAAGAUGUAAAGGUAUGCUUCAAAAUUGUUGUAAAUUGUGUAUUGAAUUUGCACCUAAGUAUUUGUAAAUCAUAAUCAAUUAAAAGGGGUGGGUUUUUGUUGAUGGGGGGGAAACCUUUUUUUUCUGUAGACUUUUUUCAGAUAACAUCUUCUGAGUCAUACCCAGCCUGGCAAUAUGAUGGCCUAGAUGGAGAGGGGAACAGCUCCUUGGUGAAUGAUAAGUAAAGGCAGAAAAGAUUAUAUUUCAUACCUAUCUUCAUUGGGCAAAAGCAUAACUCUGAAAUCCUUACUACUGAUGAACUCAUGGUCUGC